GGGAGGGACUCGCCCCCCGUGCCUGUGUUUACAGACUGCUGGUUUCCCCGGGCUCUGACCUGCCUCGUCCAGAAAGCCCAGCAAGAGCGUUGAACUCCUGCUUUCUGCAGGUUCUGCUGGGAGCGGCUCCUCUGGGGUGUGAAGCGGGCAGAGGAGGAUGAGGAGGGAGCCGUGAGCAGAGCCUAGGAGGAGCCUUCCGGGGGCUUCCAGAAGCUGGGGACGGCUGAGACCUGGGUUUGAGGAAGAGCCAGAAGGUGGCUUUGGGCGUGCCCGCCCGCCUUGGAGCCCAGUGUGCCCCCUGGAGAGCGACCGUAUCAGCACCCCAGGGCAGGGCCGCAGAAUAAAGGACUCCAGAGAUGCGCUCAGCAGAGUGAAGAAGGAACGGUGGUGCCCAGCGGACUCCCGCCAGGGCAGGCUCAGGGACGGCUCCCGG
rnacentral:lncRNA from 1 species